rnacentral:rRNA from 1 species
CCCGGAGUAGAGGAAGGAGAAGUCGUAACAAGGUUUUCGUAGGUGAACCUGCGAAAGGAUCAUUAUCGGCAAAUUCUAAACAAACACUCAAACAAACACUCUUUUGUGUAUUAACAUCAAUGUGUAAACUGUAUUGUAUAAAGCAUGCGUAGUGGACGGCUCGGUUCCCGUGUCGAUGAAGGACGUAGCGAAAUACGAAAGGUGUUGCGAAUUGCAAGAUUUCGUGAGUCAAUGAUUAUCCGAAUGCAUCGUCAUCCCUUCGCAGUCUCUUGGUUGCAAGGGGUGCGUCGGCAACAUCGGCUGAAAACUGAUCUUUAUAGUCACAUUCACUCACUCAUUCACUGUGUUGAAUUUGUAUUCUAUAAAGCAGCGACAACUAUGAGCAAGCAUUGUUUGUGCUUGUGAAUGUAAGCACCAGUAACCACUAUCAGCUACUGAUUUUGAGUUCAACAACAGUUUCUGAACUCUCACCAUUCUUUGUGUUUGUUCAAGUGUACGCUCGUUUGGAUGACAUUCGAUGCUUCAUUUGUAGACUGUUCUCAAUCCGUAGUCUGACUGAAUGUUUAUUCGUUUUACUUUGACGAUGUUGUCGGCGUAGGUAACCCGCUGAACUUAAGCAUAUCACUAAGCGGAGGAAAAGAAACCAAUUUGGAUGCCCCUAGUAUG